CCAGGACUAAAACUGGACUAAACCAGGUCUAAAACUGGACUAAACCAGGACUAAACCAGGUCUAAACUAGGACUAAAACUGGACCAAACCAGGACUAAACCAGGACUUGAACUUAAAGAUAAAAGGAGCUGUUCAUUUAUAAAACGAACCACUUCAUGAUGUCACAGGGUGGAUCAGAGCGUUUGGAGCUUUAGACCGACGAAUAAUCAAGAAUAAAGAGUCACUCAAACAAACAAAAACAAAAAAAAAAAAACAAACGCAAAAGUGUGAGGGGAAAACUCGGGAUUGAACUGUUUGUGUAACUUAUUUUGUUAAAAGUUUGUACUGAUUUGUUGAGUUGUUUUGUUGUUUUUUUGUGUUUUUGGGAACAAGACAAGGUUUUUGUUUACAGCUCUGAUCACAAACGUUCCACUUAUUAAAAAAAAAAAAAGAAAAAUCAACCAAACAAAUGAUUUUCAACUCAGUUCUUAAAUGAUGUUAUAUAUUUUAUUUUUGUCUUUUAUUUAUUCAUUUUUUUGUCUGUUUGUUUAGUCUUUAGAAACUAAAGGGACGCAUUUUAAGACUAAACCAGAACUAAACCAGGACGAAACCAGAACUAAACCAGGACUAAACCAGGACUUAUAUUUUUUCAUUUAGUCUGUAAAUGUUUAAAUAUUUGGAGGUUUUCAUUUCUGAUCACAAACUGUUUUUUUUUUUUUCCUGUAUAAAACUUUAAUUUAUUUCAUUUUAUCUCCAAACUUGUCUAAAGUUUCACAUUCCUAAAAAUAUUUUUACAAAACCAAAGAUAUUUUUCUAAAUAUUUGUUCUUCCACUUCUCUUCAUUUAUUAAAAUUUUUAAUAAAAUUGAAUGAGUAAAAUA